UGAAGACGACGAGGUAGAUAGGUUGGAGGUGGAAGUGCAGCAAUGCAUGGAGCUGACCAAUACUAAUCGGUCGAGGGCUUAUCCUAAUAU
rnacentral:rRNA from 1 species